GCAAAGAGACCGGCAAAGUUCACGUGACUGUGGAUCUCAAGUACUACCGGCCAACUGAAGUGGAGACCAAUUAAUUGUUCAAAGGUAAUAUAUAGAGAUCUCAAGAGCAUUUACUUUGGCACAGUCUCUGCCCCUUUGUGGUCUGGCUAACAAUAAAGCUAAGAUUUGUUUUGUAAUGACGGUUCCAGUUGGACUGGAAUUCCUUUGAAGUUCCUGAAGUUUGCUGUUGUGAGAGCUCAAGAUAUUAUUUGACUGCAAUAAAACACUCUCUGUGUAUUAUCAAAAUAUCGUAUACACUGAACUGUAACAACUUGCAGUAACCAGACUUCUCCUUCGAGGUGGCCUGCGUGAGUAGGGAGCAUCCACAGAGAGAUGAGCUUCUCCCUACAUCCAUUUAGUGUUCAAUCAUCACGGGCCACUCAUGGAUCUGAACCUUCUUACAAGGUCGAUACCAACAGGUAUGAGGAGCAGAGAGCAGAUCAGCACGGAGCAGCAUUAGCUGGGGCCCCCUUGCCUGGCAUGGUAGUGAAGAUAGAGCACCAUGCCAGUUGUUCAGCUUCUCAGCGCUUGCAUCAGCUGACCUAAAUUAUUUAAGGAUGUUGUCACCUCUAAAUAAAUAUAGUCAUUGUCCUGGUCUCUAUUUAUAUUUUAAAACUCUUUCCCAGCCCACCCCGAUGGCCUAAAACAAUUCAUAUACUUCAGUAGAAGAGGGUGUCACAGGGCUAUUUGCACAGGUUUGGAUCCAGUGCCAGCGUUAGCCUUCACACAAGUUACACUCCUCUGAGAUGUAACUGUCUCCUGUGUAUGAGUGCCAAAG
rnacentral:sRNA from 1 species